rnacentral:rRNA from 1 species
ACGCUGGCGGCAUGCUUUACACAUGCAAGUCGGACGGCAGCACAGAGAAGCUUGCUUCUUGGGUGGCGAGUGGCGAACGGGUGAGUAACAUAUCGGAACGUACCGAGCAGUGGGGGAUAACUAAUCGAAAGAUUAGCUAAUACCGCAUAUAUUCUGAGGAAGAAAGCAGGGGACCAUUUGGCCUUGCGCUGUUUGAGCGGCCGAUAUCUGAUUAGCUAGUUGGUGGGGUAAAGGCCUACCAAGGCGACGAUCAGUAGCGGGUCUGAGAGGAUGAUCCGCCACACUGGGACUGAGACACGGCCCAGACUCCUACGGGAGGCAGCAGUGGGGAAUUUUGGACAAUGGGCGCAAGCCUGAUCCAGCCAUGCCGCGUGUCUGAAGAAGGCCUUCGGGUUGUAAAGGACUUUUGUCAGGGAAGAAAAGGGCGGGGUUAAUACCCCUGUCUGAUGACGGUACCUGAAGAAUAAGCACCGGCUAACUACGUGCCAGCAGCCGCGGUAAUACGUAGGGUGCGAGCGUUAAUCGGUAUUACUGGGCGUAAAGCGGGCGCAGACGGUUACUUAAGCAGGAUGUGAAAUCCCCGGGCUCAACCUGGGAACUGCGUUCUGAACUGGGUGACUAGAGUGUGUCAGAGGGAGGUAGAAUUCCACGUGUAGCAGUGAAAUGCGUAGAGAUGUGGAGGAAUACCGAUGGCGAAGGCAGCCUCCUGGGAUAACACUGACGUUCAUGCCCGAAAGCGUGGGUAGCAAACAGGAUUAGAUACCCUGGUAGUCCACGCCCUAAACGAUGUCGAUUAGCUGUUGGGCAGCAUGACUGCUUAGUAGCGAAGCUAACGCGUGAAAUCGACCGCCUGGGGAGUACGGUCGCAAGAUUAAAACUCAAAGGAAUUGACGGGGACCCGCACAAGCGGUGGAUGAUGUGGAUU